UACGUAGGGUGCUAGCGUUGUUCGGAAUCAUUGGGCGUAAAGCGCGUGCAGGCUGUUAGUUAAGUCGGGUGUGAAAUCCCUGGGCUCAACCGAGGAAGUGCAUCCGAAACUGGCUAGCUAGAGAGUGGUAGAGGAAGGUGGAAUUCCAAGUGUAGAGGUGAAAUUCGUAGAUAUUUGGAGGAAUACCGGUGGCGAAGGCGGCCUUCUGGACCAUUUCUGACGCUGAGACGCGAAAGCGUGGGGAGCAAACAGG
rnacentral:rRNA from 1 species